GCCCCUCCUCCCCCCCCCCGGCGGCGCCGCCCCCAAAUCGACCCCAAACUUCAGAUCCCAGCUGAGGAUUUCCGGGCUCAGCUGCACCCCACAGCGCACUGCGGCCCCAUGAUCGUCCCGGAGCUGCACCCCGAAUGGCGCCGGACCCCAAUGGAGCUUUUCAGGACCCCCACAGCGGGAUGGCUGCCCCCCGAGAUUUGGGAUCUGUGGGUCCGAGCCGCCCGCCCCACAGCGCCGGAACCCAGCGAGGUGGAGGAACCCAGAGAAAUCCCGGAACCGAGUGUGGGGCUGCCACCCUCCUCAGAGCCCCGCCCCCUCUGCCCGAACUUCCGGAAGAGGCGGGACUUCCGCCGGUGGGCGUGGCUUCGUUGCGGCGGGUGGCGCUGGAGGGGGCGGGGAGACCGGAAGGGGCGGAGCUUAGCGGGCUGCUCCCGAGAUCCGCCCCCCGGAAGUUGUGGGCGCGGCUCUUCCGGGUUUGUCUGGAUCUCUGCGCCGCCGGUUGGCUGCGGCUGGAGCAAGCCCGCCCCUACGGACCAAUCGGCAUCCGGCUUGGCCCGCGAGGCCCCGCCCACCCCUCGCCAAGCCCCGCCCACGCGGAAUAAAACCAAAGGGGGGCGUGGCCUCGGCCUCCAUCCUUUUAUUGGCGCCCGAUGCUGCAGAGGGCGUUGCUGCGCACUUCCGGGUCCGGGUCGUGGGCGGAGCUUCGAGCGAGGGCCGGGCCAAUCAGAGGGAGGAGCUCCUUGGCCAUGCCCACGUCCAGCUCCGCCGCCGCCUCCACCUGAUUGGACGAGAGCGCACCGUGGGGGCGGGGCUAAGCCUGCAGGCCACGCCCCCCCCGUUUCUGAAGCUCCGCCCACCUCCUCAUCGUCAGCUUCGGCCUCGUCGUCCUGCAGGCAGCGGAUCUGGGGGAAAAUGGGGGAAAACGGCCCCAAAAUGGAGUGGAUUCAACCCGAAAUGCAUCCAGCUGGCCACAAAACCCGGCAAAACGGCCCCAAAAUCCCCGAAAACGGCCACGAAAUCCCUCGAAACGGCCCCAAAAUCCGUCGGUGGCCUCAAAAGCCCUCAGAACGGCCCCGAAAUCCAUUAAACUGGCCCCAAAACUCAGCGAAAUGACCCCGAAAUACAUGAAAAUGACCUCCAAGUCCUUCAAAAUGGCCCCAAAACCCGUAAAAAGGACCCCAAAAUCCAUCAAAAUGGCCCCAAAAUAAGAUGGCCUCAAAAUCCAUCAAAAUGACCCCAAAAUCCAUUAAAUGGCCCCAAAAUCCAUAAACUGACCCCAGAAUCCAUAAAUUGGCCCUAAAAUCCAUUAAAAUGACCCCGAAAAUCCUCAAGAAGAACCAAAAAUCCAUAAAAAUGACACGAAAAUCCAUUAAAAUGACCCCAAAAUCCAUAAAAUGACCCCAAAACCCAACAAAAUGGCCCCAAAAUCCAUCAAAGUGACCCAAAAUCCAUUAAAAUGGCCCCAAAAUCCAUCAAAAAGUGAUCCAAAAUCCAUAAAACGAUCCCCAAAUCCAUAAAAGUGAUCCCAAAAUCUAUCAGAACAACCCCAAAAUCCACCAAAUGACCCCAAAAUCCAUUAAAUGACCCAAAAUCCAUUAAAAUCCCCCCAAAGCCCAUCAAAAUGGCCCCAAAAUCCACCAAAAUGACCCCAAAAUCCAACAAAACGACCCCAAAAUCCAACAAAAUGGCCCCAAAAUCCACCAAAAUGACCCCAAAAUCCAACAAAACGGCCCCAAAAUCCACCAAAAUGACCCCAAAAUGAAAACCAAGAUGGCCGCCACCCCUCCUUCAAACCCCGCCCCCUCUUAGCCCCGCCCCUUCCUAAGCCCCUCCCACUCCCGGAAGUACCUCUUAGCUAAGCCACGCCCCCCUAGUUUAAAACCCAAUCGCUGCAAGCCGCGCCUACAUAAGCCACGCCCAACCCGAAGCCACGCCCCCUCCCGGAAGUCCACACCGCCCAAGCCACGCCCCCAUCUUAAGCCCCACCCACUCCCGGAAGUCCCUUCGCUCUAA
ensembl:lncRNA